rnacentral:tRNA from 1 species
AGCAGUGUGGCCUAAUGGAGAGAGCGUAGGAGUCAGAGGGUCUGGGUUCUAAUCCCAGCUCUGCCA